rnacentral:rRNA from 1 species
AUUGAACGCUGGCGGUAUGCUUAACACAUGCAAGUCGAACGAUGAGAAAGAGCUUGCUCUUUCGAUUAGUGGCGGACGGGUGCGUAACGCGUAGGAAUCUACCUAUUAGUGGGGGACAACUUAGGGAAACUUAAGCUAAUACCGCAUGCGCCCUACGGGGGAAAGGAGGGGAUCGCAAGACCUUUCGCUAAUAGAUGAGCCUGCGUAGGAUUAGCUAGUUGGUGGGGUAAAGGCUCACCAAGGCGACGAUCCUUAACUGGUUUGAGAGAAUGAUCAGUCACACUGGAACUGAGACACGGUCCAGACUCCUACGGGAGGCAGCAGUGGGGAAUAUUGGACAAUGGGCGAAAGCCUGAUCCAGCAAUACCGCGUGUGUGAAGAAGGCCUUAGGGUUGUAAAGCACUUUCAAUUGGAAGGAAAACUUCAUGGCUAAUAUCCAUGAGUUUGACAUUACCUUUAGAAGAAGCACCGGCUAACUCCGUGCCAGCCGCCGCCGUAACAC